UAAUGUCUGGGAAACUGCCUGAUGGAGGGGGGUAACUACUGGAAACGGUAGCUAAUACCGCAUAAUGUCGCAAGACCAAAGUGGGGGACCUUCGGGCCCUCAUGCCAUCAGAUGUGCCCAGAUGGGAUUAGCUAGUAGGUGGGGUAACGGCUCACCUAGGCGACGAUCCCUAGCUGGUCUGAGAGGAUGACCAGCCACACUGGAACUGAGACACGGUCCAG
rnacentral:rRNA from 1 species